UCCCUGAUGGCUUAGAUGGUAAAGAGUCUGCCUGCAGUGCAGGUGACCCGGGUUCAAUUCCUGGAUUGGGAA
rfam:TPA: Bos taurus chromosome 5, whole genome shotgun sequence.